rnacentral:rRNA from 1 species
GUAGGUGAACCUGCGGAAGGAUCAUUACACAAUUCGAUGAAACUCAACCAAGCCUUUAGCUGGAGUGAAGUACCUCGGUACGGAUCAUCAGCAAACACAAAACUAAAAACUAAAAGGAGCCUAACUAAGCUAAAACUAAAAACCAAAUUCUAAACGAUGGAUGUCUUGGUUCCCAUAACGAUGAAGAACGCAGCGAAGUGCGAUAAGCAGUGCGAAUUGCAGAACCGUGAGUCAUCAGAUUUUUGAACGCAACUGGCACCGUACGGUCUCUGGCCGUCGGUACGCCUGGUCCAGUGUCUUGUUAUCUCAUGACCUAAAUCUUAAUGCGGGAGAUGCCCUUCUCUCGUCAAGCAUGAAAGCACUCUGCGCGAGCGAGUAACCUUCGGGUUGCACUCAAUGCAGCAGUCACAUUGCUUACAGUGUGAACUCAUUGAGAGUGGACGCAGCGCGACAAUAGUCGCAAGUGUUUAGUCAUAUCAACUUAGAAACCGUAUCUGGGCUCAGGUGGGACCACCCGCUGAACUUAAGCAUAUCAGUA